rnacentral:rRNA from 1 species
AGAGACAGCAGUCGCCACGGGAAUACGUAGGGGGCAAGCGUUAUCCGGAAUAACUGGGCGUAAAGGGUGCGCAGGUGGUUUAACAAGUUAGUGGUGAAAGGCAUAGGCUCAACCAAUGUAAGCCAUUAAAACUGUUUAACUUGAGUGCAGGAGAGGAAAGUGGAAUUCCUAGUGUAGCGGUGAAAUGCGUAGAGAUUAGGAGGAACACCAGUGGCGAAGGCGGCUUUUUGGCCUGUAACUGACACUGAGGCGCGAAAGCGUGGGGAGCAAACAGGAUUAGAUACCCCAGUAGUCCCUGUCUCUUAUACA